GACGAACGCUGGCGGCGUGCUUAACACAUGCAAGUCGAACGGAAAGGCCCUUCGGGGUACUCGAGUGGCGAACGGGUGAGUAACACGUGGGUGAUCUGCCCUGCACUUUGGGAUAAGCCUGGGAAACUGGGUCUAAUACCGAAUAUGAUCAUCGGCUUCAUGGUCGGUGGUGGAAAGCUUUUGCGGUGUGGGAUGGGCCCGCGGCCUAUCAGCUUGUUGGUGGGGUAAUGGCCUACCAAGGCGACGACGGGUAGCCGGCCUGAGAGGGUGACCGGCCACACUGGGACUGAGAUACGGCCCAGACUCCUACGGGAGGCAGCAGUGGGGAAUAUUGCACAAUGGGCGCAAGCCUGAUGCAGCGACGCCGCGUGAGGGAUGACGGCCUUCGGGCUGUAAACCUCUUUCAGCACAGACGAAGCGCAAGUGACGGUAUGUGCAGAAGAAGGACCGGCCAACUACGUG
rnacentral:rRNA from 1 species